AGAGUUUGAUCCUGGCUCAGGAUGAACGCUAGCUACAGGCUUAACACAUGCAAGUCGAGGGGCAUCAGGAAGAAAGCUUGCUUUCUUUGCUGGCGACCGGCGCACGGGUGAGUAACACGUAUCCAACCUGCCCUUUACUCGGGGAUAGCCUUUCGAAAGAAAGAUUAAUACCCGAUGGCAUAAUGAUUCCGCAUGGUUUCAUUAUUAAAGGAUUCCGGUAAAGGAUGGGGAUGCGUUCCAUUAGGUUGUUGGUGAGGUAACGGCUCACCAAGCCUUCGAUGGAUAGGGGUUCUGAGAGGAAGGUCCCCCACAUUGGAACUGAGACACGGUCCAAACUCCUACGGGAGGCAGCAGUGAGGAAUAUUGGUCA
rnacentral:rRNA from 1 species